UACGUAGGGGGCAAGCGUUGUCCGGAUUUAUUGGGCGUAAAGAGCGUGUAGGCGGCCAGGUAGGUCUGCUGUGAAAACUCGAGGCUUAACCUCGAGAUGUCGGCGGAAACCAUCUGGCUAGAGUCCGGAAGAGGAGAGCGGAAUUCCUGGUGUAGCGGUGAAAUGCGUAGAUAUGCGGAGGAACACCGAUGGCGAAGGCAAUCCCCUGGGCCUGCACUGACGCUCAUGCACGAAAGCGUGGGGAGCAAACAGG
rnacentral:rRNA from 1 species